rnacentral:rRNA from 1 species
AUGCAGUCGAGCGAGCGGAACCAACAGAUUUACUUCGGUAAUGACGUUGGGAAAGCGAGCGGCGGAUGGGUGAGUAACACGUGGGGAACCUGCCCCUAAGUCUGGGAUACCAUUUGGAAACAGGUGCUAAUACCGGAUAAUAAAGCAGAUCGCAUGAUCAGCUUUUGAAAGGCGGCGUAAGCUGUCGCUAAGGGAUGGCCCCGCGGUGCAUUAGCUAGUUGGUAAGGUAACGGCUUACCAAGGCAAUGAUGCAUAGCCGAGUUGAGAGACUGAUCGGCCACAAUGGAACUGAGACACGGUCCAUACUCCUACGGGAGGCAGCAGUAGGGAAUCUUCCACAAUGGACGCAAGUCUGAUGGAGCAACGCCGCGUGAGUGAAGAAGGUUUUCGGAUCGUAAAGCUCUGUUGUUGGUGAAGAAGGAUAGAGGUAGUAACUGGCCUUUAUUUGACGGUAAUCAACCAGAAAGUCACGGCUAACUAC